AGAGUUUGAUCAUGGCUCAGGACGAACGCUGGCGGCGUGCCUAAUACAUGCAAGUCGAGCGAACUUGCGGGAGCUUGCUCCCAAAAGUUAGCGGCGGACGGGUGAGUAACACGUGGGCAACCUGCCUAUAAGACUGGGAUAACUUCGGGAAACCGGAGCUAAUACCGGAUCAUUCUUUUCUACACAUGUAGAAAAGCUGAAAGACGGUUUACGCUGUCACUUAUAGAUGGGCCCGCGGCGCAUUAGCUAGUUGGUGAGGUAACGGCUCACCAAGGCCACGAUGCGUAGCCGACCUGAGAGGGUGAUCGGCCACACUGGGACUGAGACACGGCCCAGACUCCUACGGGAGGCAGCAGUAGGGAAUCUUCCCGCAUGGACGAAAGUCUGA
rnacentral:rRNA from 1 species